GGAGUCGGUGAGCCGCAGGGUUUCCACCGCGGAUGCGAGGGUUCGAUUCCCG
rnacentral:tRNA from 13 species